rnacentral:rRNA from 1 species
UACGAGGGGAGCAAGCGUUGUUCGGAUUUACUGGGCGUAAAGGGCGCGUAGGCGGCGUGACAAGUCACGUGUGAAAUCUCCGGGCUUAACCCGGAACGGUCAAGUGAAACUGUCGGGCUAGAGUACAGAAGGGGCAACUGGAAUUCUCGGUGUAGCGGUGAAAUGCGUAGAUAUCGAGAGGAACACCUGCGGCGAAGGCGGGUUGCUGGGC